rnacentral:rRNA from 1 species
AGCAAACGCUGGCGGCAGGCUUAACACAUGCAAGUCGAGCGGGCCCUUCGGGGUCAGCGGCAGACGGGUGAGUAACGCGUGGGAACGUGCCCUUCGGUUCGGAAUAACUCAGGGAAACUUGAGCUAAUACCGGAUACGCCCUUAUGGGGAAAGGCUUGCUGCCGAAGGAUCGGCCCGCGUCUGAUUAGCUAGUUGGUGAGGUUAUGGCUCACCAAGGCGACGAUCAGUAGCUGGUCUGAGAGGAUGAUCAGCCACACUGGGACUGAGACACGGCCCAGACUCCUACGGGAGGCAGCAGUGGGGAAUAUUGGACAAUGGGGGCAACCCUGAUCCAGCCAUGCCGCGUGAGUGAUGACGGCCUUAGGGUUGUAAAGCUCUUUUCUCCGGGACGAUAAUGACGGUACCGGAGGAAUAAGCCCCGGCUAACUUCGUG